UGGGGAAUAUUGGACAAUGGGGGCAACCCUGAUCCAGCCAUGCCGCGUGUGUGAAGAAGGCCUUUUGGUUGUAAAGCACUUUAAGCAGUGAAGAAGACUCCAUGGUUAAUACCCAUGGACGAUGACAUUAGCUGCAGAAUAAGCACCGGCUAACUCUGUGCCAGCAGCCGCGGUAAUACAGAGGGUGCAAGCGUUAAUCGGAAUUACUGGGCGUAAAGCGAGCGUAGGUGGCUUGAUAAGUCAGAUGUGAAAGCCCCGGGCUCAACCUGGGAACGGCAUCUGAUACUGUUAGGCUAGAGUAGGUGAGAGGAAGGUAGAAUUCCAGGUGUAGCAGUGAAAUGCGUAGAGAUCUGGAGGAAUACCGAUGGCGAAGGCAGCCUUCUGGCAUCAUACUGACACUGAGGUUCGAAAGCGUGGGUAGCAAACA
rnacentral:rRNA from 1 species